GAUGAACGCUGGCGGCGUGCUUAACACAUGCAAGUCGAGCGGAAAGGCCAUGCUAUUGUUGCUUUCUCGAGCGGGGAACGGGUGAGUAACACAGGAGUAACCAGCCCAUCUCUUUCGGAUAACUUCAGGGAACUGCGGAUAUUACCGGAUAGGAGCUUCUGCUCCGAGGCGCGCGUUAGAAAGUGACGGCGGUUGCGGCGGUAUGAGAUGGACAUGCGCUCCAUUAGCUGGUUGGUGCGGUAAUGGCUGACCAAGGGUACGACGGGUAGGCGGCCUGAGAGGGUGACCGGCCACCUUGCGACUGAGCUACGGCCCAGACUCGUACGGGAGGCAGCAGUGGGGAAUAUUGCACAAUGGGGCGAAGCCUGAUGCAGCAACGCGGCGUGCGGGAUGAUGGCCUUCGGGUUGUAAACCGAUUUCGCCUGUGCCGAAGCGUGCUUGACGGUACUGGGUAAAGAAGCACCGGCUAACUACGUG
rnacentral:rRNA from 1 species